rnacentral:rRNA from 1 species
GAUGAACGCUGGCGGCGUGCUUAAUACAUGCAAGUCGAGCGAACAGACGAGGAGCUUGCUCCUCUGACGUUAGCGGCGGACGGGUGAGUCACAAGUGGAUAACCUCCCUAUAAGACUGGGAUCAUUUCGGGAAACGGGCGCUAAUACCGGAUAAUAUAUUGAACCGCAUGGUUCAAUAGUGAAAGACGGUUUUGCUGGCACUUAUCGCUGCAUCCGCGCCGUUUUAGCUAGUUGUUAAGGUACAGGCUUAUCAAGGGAACCAGGCGUGACAGACCUGAUAGGCUGAUCGCCCACCCUGGAACUGAGACACGGUCCUUGCUACUACGGGAGGCAGCAGUAUCGAAUCUUCCGCAGUGGUCGAGAGCUUGACGGAACAGGCGCGCGUGAGAUAUGAAGGUCUUCGGAUCGUAAUACUCUCUUAUUAGUGAAAAACAAAUGUGUAAGUAACCAUGCACGGCUUGACGGUACCGAAUAAGAAAGCCACGGCUAACUACGUG